rnacentral:ncRNA from 2 species
AUGAAGGCCGUAGGAGAGACCCUAUGGGCGCCGAAGGAGCAAGCCAGUUUUACUCUUGCUGUGAAAACUGUUAAACUCUCAGGCAAAAGUACUGUGGCCGGACG